rnacentral:rRNA from 1 species
UACGUAGGGGGCAAGCGUUGUCCGGAAUCAUUGGGCGUAAAGAGCGUGUAGGCGGCUCGGUAAGUCUGCUGUGAAAGUCCAGGGCUCAACCCUGGGAUGCCGGUGGAUACUGUCGAGCUCGAGUCCGGAAGAGGCGAGUGGAAUUCCUGGUGUAGCGGUGAAAUGCGCAGAUAUCAGGAGGAACACCUAUGGCGAAGGCAGCUCGCUGGGACGUGACUGACGCUGAGACGCGAAAGCGUGGGGAGCAAACAGG